AUGGCAGAAUGACAUCCCCCAUUUGGCCCGCUGGAAAUGCCCACCAUCUUUUGGGAAGAUUUACUGGCUGUUUAUAGAAUGCCUGCCUAUAUAAUAUGAAAAAGCUGCUCUCAACUUCUCCCCCAAAACCUUUUAAAAGAAAACAUUUGCCACAUCCAGCCCUUCUAGAGUAAAGAGGUUGCCAACGUAUGAAGUAGAGUUAGAAAAUCACACACCUUGCAAAUUCUCAUUAGUUUAAAAAGAAGUCAUAGAAAAUGUCUUCUGGAGUUGACUUUUUGAAAUGGAGUUAUUAGACCACUUCUGGAAGCAACACGUCCACGUUUGUUCAAUGGGCUAGAGGACAUGGAGCAGAAGACCUGAGAAGGAAAAGAAGUGCCAGUAGAACGUAUGUCUGAAACUCUCCCCUUUCUGCCUGAAGUUAGAAGACUACAUGUUGAAAGUUUGCUUUGAGCUUGGUUCUUCUUGAACAUGCAGCUUCAAAUCAAUGUCUGUCUGCUCAUAAGUUCAACCAAACCAGGAC
rnacentral:lncRNA from 1 species